rnacentral:rRNA from 1 species
GACGAACGCUGUUGGCGUGCCUAACACAUGCAAGUCGAGCGAAGUGAGUACUACGGUACGAACUUAGCGGCGGACGGGUGAGUAACGCGUGGACAAUCUACCCUGUAGACUGGGAUAACACCUCGAAAGGGGUGCUAAUACCGGAUAAUGUCGAGAAGCGGCAUCGCUUUUCGAAGAAAGGAGAGAAUCCGCUAUAGGAGGAGUCCGCGUCCCAUUAGCUAGUUGGUGAGGGUAACGGCCCACCAAGGCGACGAUGGGUAGCCGGCCUGAGAGGGUGAACGGCCACACUGGAACUGAGACACGGUCCAGACUCCUACGGGAGGCAGCAGUGGGGAAUAUUGUGCAAUGGGGGAAACCCUGACACAGCAACGCCGCGUAAGCGAAGAAGGCCUUCGGGUUGUAAAGCUCAAUAGUAUGGGAAGAUAAUGACGGUACCAUACGAAAGCCCCGGCUAACUACGUGCCAGCCGCCGCAGUAAGAC